UGUGUGUGCCAAAUUCAAGGAAAGCACGG
rnacentral:piRNA from 1 species